UGGUCAAGCAUGAAAGGGCGUACGGGGGAUGUCUUGGCGUCAGUCGGCAAAGGGGCGUGGAAGGCUGCGAUAAGUCUGGGGAAGCUGUCAAACGAGCGUUGAUCCCGGAAUACCCUUGCAGACGCAGUGAACUGAAACAUCUAAGUAACUGUAGGAAAAUAAAGAAAACUCGAUUACCGUAGUAGCGGCGAGCGAACUGGUAACAGCCUAAACCAUCAAGCUUCGGCUUGAUGGGGUCGUGGGGCUGAUCAUUGUGGAGUUACAAAUCUGCCUGUUAGAAGAAUUCGUUGGAAAGCGAAACCAUAGAGGGUGACAGUCCCGUAUUUGAAAAUAGUGCAGACUCCCGAUCAGUACCCGAGUAGGGCCGGUCACGUGGAACCCGGUCUGAAUCUGCGAGGCCCAUCUCGCAAGGCUAAAUACGUACUGACGACCGAUAGUGAAUCAAGUAGCGCGAGCGAAAGAUGAAAAGAACCCCCGCUAGGGGAGUUAAAAGAACCUGAAACCGUAUGCCUACAAGCUGUGGGAGCCCCAUGUCUUUGACGGGGUGACCGCGUGCCUUUUGCAUAAUGAUCCGGCGAGUUACCGUCAAUGGCCUGGUUAAGACCUUCCGGGUCGGAGCCAUAGGGAAACCGAGUCUGAAUAGGGCGUUUGUCAGUGGCGGUAGACGCGAAACUAGGUGAACUACCCAUGAGCAGGUUGAAGCGCGGGUAAGACCGCGUGGAGGACCGAACCCACUGGUGCUGAAAAAUCAGGGGAUGACUUGUGGGGAGGAGUAAAAGUCUCAUCAAACCUAGAGAUAGCUCGUUCUCUCCGAAAUAGCUUUAGGGCUAGCCUUGAGCCACUAUGUAAUGGGGGUAGAGAGACUGAUUUGGACCGGGGGGCUACCCGCCUACCCGCCCUGACCAAACUCCGAAUACCAUUACAAUUAUCUCAGGAGUCAGUCCACGAGGGAGAAGCUUCGUGGUCGAGAGGGAAACAACCCAGAUCGCCUGCUAAGGUCCCAAAGAUGGACUCAGUCACAAAGGAUACUUAAAUACAGUGACAGCCAGGAUGUUGGCUUAGAAGCAGCCACCAUUUAAAAAGUGCGUAAUAGCUUACUGGUCGAGUAUUUCUGUACCGAUAAUGACCGGGAGUAAGUCCAUCACCGAAGCAGCGGACUCGUAAGAGUGGUAGGAGAGCGUUCCCAAGCAGAUACAAGCCAUACCGAAAGGAGUGGUGCCGGGCUUGGGAAGUGAUUAUGCCGGAAUGAGUAACGAUAAAACAGGUGAGAAUCCUGUUCGCCGAAAACCUAAGGUUUCCUGGGGAAGGUAAAUCCGCCCAGGGUUAGCCGGUCCCUUAGUCGAGGCCGAAAGGCGUAGACGAUGGAUAGCAGGUUAAUAUUCCUGCGCUAGUUGUGUGGACUGAUGGAGGGACGUUGUUCAGAAGGUCAUCGGGCUGACAGACAUGCCCGUUGGUGAAGCGGUCGUCGUGGUAGGAAAAUCCGCCACAUCAGACGACUGCCAGCCUCACUCAUUAUUAGAGCGAAGUGAUCCGACGAAUAACCAAGAAAAGCUUCUAAAGGUUGAAGCACACUAACCGUACUAAAACUGACACAGGUAGGUGGGGCGAGUAGCCUCAGGCGCUCGGGAGAAUGCUGGUUAAGGAACUCUGCAAAAUGACCCCGUAACUUCGGGAUAAGGGGUGCCCUUGGAGGUGUAUGCUUCCGGGGGCCACAGAAAAUCGGUUCUGGCGACUGUUUACUAAAAACACAGGACUCUGCGAACUCGUAAGAGGAUGUAUAGAGUCUGACGCCUGCUCGGUGCCGGUAAGUUAAAGGAGAGGGUUAAUCUUCGGAUGAAGCCCGCAACUGAAGCUCCGGUAAACGGCGGCCGUAACUAUGACGGUCCUAAGGUAGCGAAAUUCCUUGUCGGGUAAGUUCCGACCUGCAUGAAUGGCGUAACGACUGGAACACUGUCUCAACCAGCAACCCGGUGAAAUUGUAGCCGUGGUGAAGAUGCCACGUACCCGCAGCAAGACGGAAAGACCCCAUGAACCUUUACUGCAGGCUAAUAUUGGCUUUAGAUAGUUCUUGUGCAGGAUAGGUGGGAGGCUUUGAAACGAUUACGCCAGUAGUCGUGGAGCCAUCCUUGAAAUACCACCCUAGGCCUGUUUGAAGUCUAACCAUGAUCUCGUGAAUCCGAGCAUGGAACAGUGUUAGUUGGGCAGUUUGACUGGGGCGGUCUCCUCCCAAAGAGUAACGGAGGAGCUCAUAAGGUACCCUCAGCCUGGUCGGCCAUCAGGCGUAGAGCGUAAAGGUAGAAGGGUGCUUGACUGCGAGACUUAUAAGUCGAGCAGAAACGAAAGUUGGACUUAGUGAUCCGGUGGUUCCGAAUGGAAGGGCCAUCGCUCAACAGAUAAAAGGUACUCUGGGGAUAACAGGCUGAUCACACCCGAGCGUCCAUAGCGGCGGUGUGGUUUGGCACCUCGAUGUCGGCUCAUCACAUCCUGGGGGUGGAGAAGCUCCCAAGGGUUUGGCUGUUCGCCAAUUAAAGUGGUACGCGAGCUGGGUUUAAACCGUCGUGAGACAGGUUGGUCCCUAUCUGCUGUGGGCGCACGAAACUUGAGGGAUUUUCUCUUUAGUACGAGAGGAUUUGGAGGGACAUACCUCUAGUGUUCCUGUUGUCACGCUAGUGGCACGGCAGGGUAGCUACGUAUGGUCAGGAUAAGCGCUGAAAGCAUAUAAGCGCGAAGCCUCUCCCAAGAUUAGGUUUCGUUGACUUCGGUCUGGAGUCCCCUGGAAGACGACCAGGUUGAUAGGCUGGAUGUGUAAGGUCAGCAAUGAUCUCAGCUAACCAGUACUAACGGACGAAUGCUUGACCACUUUGAUU
rnacentral:rRNA from 1 species